GAUGAACGCUAGCGGGAGGCUUAACACAUGCAAGUCGAGGGGCAGCAUAGGGUAGCAAUACUCUGAUGGUGACCGGCAAACGGGUGAGUAACGCGUAUGCAACCUACCCUGUACAGGGGGAUAACCCGGAGAAAUUCGGACUAAUAUCCCGUAAUAAUAUCCGGAGGCAUCUUUGGAUAUUUAAAGUUCCGACGGUACGGGAUGGGCAUGCGUAACAUUAACUGGUUGGUAAGGUAACGGCUUACCAAGGCUAUGAUGUUUAGGGGUCCUGAGAGGGUGGUCCCCCACACUGGUACUGAGACACGGACCAGACUCCUACGGGAGGCAGCAGUGAGGAAUAUUGGUCAAUGGGCGCAAGCCUGAACCAGCCAUCCCGCGUGCAGGAAGACGGCCCUAUGGGUUGUAAACUGCUUUUCCAGGGAGAGAAACUUACGCACGUGUUGCGUGACUGACGGUACCCUGGGAAUAAGCAUCGGCUAACUCCGUG
rnacentral:rRNA from 1 species